rnacentral:lncRNA from 1 species
CUAACUUGGCCUUUCUGCGUUUUUACUGUGGGAUAAUGUUGUUUUCUGAAAAGUUCCUGUCCCGGGGCAGCAUUUUCGUGCGCAUUAUGAGGGUUAAACGCCCUCUCUGAGAUGAAGAGGGACGCGGUUGGAGGGCUGGACAAACACCCUCCUUCCUCACAGGACCUGAAGUUGCUUCAGGGAAAAAAGAAAAAAAAACCGCCUGGGCGAGUUUUUUUUUUUUUUUUUCCUUUCUGUAGCUGGCUGUAAGAAACAGGACGGGCGAGUCCGUGCCAAGGAGAAGGCGUAGACUUCCUCGUAACGCUUCCUCCGCCAUCUCCGCUUUCGAGCUUUGAGGGAACCCUUAGGUCGAGCAGGAUUGAAGCUCCGUCUUUCUCCUCUCGGUGAUACAGCUCUACUCCAGCAGACAUGGACUGGGGGACGAACCUUUGGAAGCUGCAGGCAGAUAAAUGCGGAUGGCUUCUCCUCUUCCUGACUGACUCUGUCAAUCAACCCAUCAAGAACUUGUUUCAGUGCAGAACUCACAGAACCCAUGAUCUAUCUGGUCCUUUAUGGGGUCAAAGGGACUUGUACUUCUUGCUGAUGAAGAUCAAAGAGAAUUUUCCCUCACCUUCUGCUUUGAUUGUUGGGCCUUUGAUCUGUUCUGGUGUGUCCACGGGUCUCAUCAUCACCAUGGACUGUUGCCAUAUACAACACUUCAUGAUUGAGAGACUGUUGUUUAUUUACUCUUUUAAUGGUGUGUAAGACCCGUUGACUGUAUACGAGAACUGGACUGAGUGACCCCUUCCCCCGACGCUCUAAAAAGCUAAAAUCCCAUAGACUUCUUUUGAGAAAUAAACAGCUAUUACUCAGUCAUUAUAUUUGUCAUUUGAAUUCUUGAUCUAGCAUUUUUAAACAUGCUAUUGCUAUCCAAUCCUUUUUUUGUAGCUCAAAUUAGUCAAGUUAUAAACUGGCCAAUCAGAUGCCUCAAUAAAAGUAUGUGCUUGUCCCUAUGCGAAAUGUUCCAAACAUUUGAUUGACAGAUUCUUUUGAGCAUGCUAAAAGUGGUAGGGGUGUGGACUCCCAAAGUGAUCAGUCCUGAUUGAUGAGACUGGUUGCCAUAGAAACAAAGACUCAGACUCCAGCAUGGCCGCAUCCUUAUCACAGGAAAGAAAUGUGGACUGAAUUGACUUUUUGUUAGAGCUGGAAUUAAGUCGCUCGGUCCGAAUGUCUUACAGUCAAUAUGUCCCAAACAAUUGAUUGACAGAUUAUGUGUAGCUUGUUUUCAAGUGGUUGGGAAUGUAGACUUGGAAGUCUACAAGUUCCCCCUGAUUGGCAAGUCUGGUUGCUAUAGACACGAUUCAGACCAGCUUGAACCAUUCACUGCUUAUCGAUAAUUUCUGGUUUCGACAUUCGUAUCUAAAAAAAAUGGUGACUUAAUUGACCUAAUUUCUUUGGAUCGGAAAAGGGUGACUUCACUCUCACCCGGUCCAGUUUUUAUCUACAGUCAAUGGUAAGACUUGGAUAAUGUUUC